rnacentral:lncRNA from 1 species
CACUUUUAUCUGUCUAAUUAUAUUUCCAAUGUCAAAUUCGGUGGAGGAAAACGUGAGGCAGUCCCUAGUGCAGUUUAUGCAGCAACUUUCAUCAGGAAAUCGCCAAAAUGACCAGAACUGGGGUUGGAACAUGACUUCAGACCCCUGCAAUGACAAUUGGGUGGGUGUAGCAUGCGACUCGCAGUUGCAAACUGUACAAAAGAUAGUUCUUCAUGAGUUCAAUUUCAGUGGAAGUCUUGAUGCCAGUUCUUUAUGCAUGGUAAAUUCUCUUGUUGUAUUGAGCUUGAGAAAGAAUAAUAUUGUCAACAUCAUACCUGAAGCGAUAGGAAAAUGCAAAAGCCUAACUCACUUAAAUUUAAGGGAAAACAGAUUAUCA